AGUGAACGCUGGCGGUAGGCCUAACACAUGCAAGUCGAACGGCAGCACAGAGGAGCUUGCUCCUUGGGUGGCGAGUGGCGGACGGGUGAGGAAUACAUCGGAAUCUACUCUGUCGUGGGGGAUAACGUAGGGAAACUUACGCUAAUACCGCAUACGACCUACGGGUGAAAGCAGGGGAUCUUCGGACCUUGCGCGAUUGAAUGAGCCGAUGUCGGAUUAGCUAGUUGGCGGGGUAAAGGCCCACCAAGGCGACGAUCCGUAGCUGGUCUGAGAGGAUGAUCAGACACGCUGGAACUGAGACACGGUCCAGACUCCUACGGGAGGAAGCAGUGGGGAAUAUUGGACAAUGGGCGCAAGCCUGAUCCAGCCAUACCGCGUGGGUGAAGAAGGCCUUCGGGUUGUAAAGCCCUUUUGUUGGGAAAGAAAUCCAUCUGGUUAAUACCCGGGUGGGAUGACGGUACCCAAAGAAUAAGCACCGGCUAACUUCGUGCCAGCCGCCGCCGUAA
rnacentral:rRNA from 1 species